CACAGAGACCAAAAGAUGAGUUCCCGGGGCAGAAUUUCUGCUGCUCUGACUGCUGUGAAAUUCUUCGAUGCCAGACACAGACCCCAUAUUGGACUGUAUAAGACAAAACUGGUGGGGUUGACCACUUCAGAGUUUGGAGUCUUAAGAGUGGAACUAGAAAUCAGUGAUUAAAAGAUGAGAAAAAUCCCUUUGUUCUUGAACUGAUAUGGAUGUGCUUCAUAUUAUUAUAGUGGAUCAGCAUGUGCCAGAAGAAGGACGACAUCUUUAAACCUCAAAACUUGUGUAAGACAUCCAGGUUCCACAGGUUUCAUCGGGAGAAGCCCGGAGGAGAGCCGAACCCUCCGCUCCUCCUAGGGAAGGGGGCCCCACCCAGGGAACUCGGCGAAGAGCAAGGGAAAUGGCCAGCGCAGCGAAAGAAGAAGGCUCGGAAAUUCCCUCCUCCACUGUUCACGUGUUUCCAGUCCGGGCGGGGCCAGCCAGAGAGGGCGGGGAACGGACAUAUCAGUAUUGGCCCUUUUCCACUAGUGAUUUGUACAGUUGGAAGACUCAAACUCCCUCUUUCUCUGAGAAACCGCAGGGUCUUAUUGAUCUUUUAGAAUCUAUCCUCUUUACUCACAAUCCCACUUGGGAUGAUUGUC
ensembl:lncRNA